AACGAACGCUGGCGGCAGGCCUAACACAUGCAAGUCGAACGCUCGUAGCAAUACGGGAGUGGCAGACGGGUGAGUAACGCGUGGGAACCUACCCUUUGGUUCGGAAUAGCCCAGGGAAACUUGGGGUAAUACCGGAUAAGCCCUUCGGGGGAAAGAUUUAUCGCCAUUGGAUGGGCCCGCGUCGGAUUAGCUAGUUGGUGGGGUAACGGCCUACCAAGGCGACGAUCCGUAGCUGGUCUGAGAGGAUGAUCAGCCACACUGGGACUGAGACACGGCCCAGACUCCUACGGGUGGCUG
rnacentral:rRNA from 1 species